AGCCUCCUGGUUCUUACCACAGGCUGUGUUUUUACAUCGACUGUGUAGAAAGAGGAGGCAGAGCAAACCUGCCCAUGUGCACCCCAGCCCAGGCCACUGUGCCUGGUCUGUAUUGUGAAUGGGGAGACAUGG
ensembl:snoRNA